UACAGAGGUCCCAAGCGUUGUUCGGAUUCAUUGGGCGUAAAGGGUGCGUAGGUGGCGCUGUAAGUCGGGUGUGAAAUUUCGGAGCUUAACUCCGAAACUGCAUUCGAUACUGCGGUGCUCGAGGACUGGAGAGGAGACUGGAAUUCAUGGUGUAGCAGUGAAAUGCGUAGAGAUCAUGAGGAAUACCGAUGGCGAAGGCAGGUCUCUGGGCUGACACUGACGCUCAUGCACGAAAGCGUGGGGAGCAAACAGG
rnacentral:rRNA from 1 species